CGGGGCGUAGCUCAGCCCGGUAGAGCGCUUGCUUUGGGAGCAAGAAGUCGGAGGUUCGAAUCCUCUCGCCCCGA
rnacentral:tRNA from 1 species